rnacentral:rRNA from 1 species
UACAGAGGUCCCAAGCGUUGUUCGGAUUCACUGGGCGUAAAGGGUGCGUAGGCGGUCGGGUAAGUCUGACGUGAAAUCUUCAAGCUCAACUUGGAAACUGCGUCGGAUACUAUUCGGCUAGAGGAAUGGAGGGGAGACUGGAAUACUUGGUGUAGUAGUGAAAUGCGUAGAUAUCAAGUGGAACACCAGUGGCGAAGGCGAGUCUCUGGACAUUUCCUGACGCUGAGGCACGAAAGCCAGGGGAGCAAACGGG